CAACUUGAGAGUUUGAUCCUGGCUCAGAACGAACGCUGGCGGCAGGCCUAACACAUGCAAGUCGAACGCCCCGCAAGGGGAGUGGCAGACGGGUGAGUAACGCGUGGGAACCUACCCUAAGGUGCGGAAUAGCCCAGGGAAACUUGGAGUAAUACCGCAUAAGCCCGCAAGGGGAAAGAUUUAUCGCCUUUGGAUGGGCCCGCGUCUGAUUAGCUAGUUGGUGAGGUAAUGGCUCACCAAGGCGACGAUCAGUAGCUGGUUUGA
rnacentral:rRNA from 1 species